rnacentral:lncRNA from 1 species
GGGUUCAAAUGCAGUGAUCCGGGAUCAUUUGCGCGAAAGAAAAUUCCGGGGUUCAAAAAAAAAUAAAUAAUAGAAAAAGAGCAAUUAUCAGAAAAGUUUCAGGGUUCAAGAAAAGCAAAGAAAGAGAUAAUAAUCCCCCGCGGAUAUGUGGUGUUCAGGCCAUGGCUAUCCCUGUGUUACCAUUUAUUUUGGUAUCCAGGUCGACGUUUCUGUUUCGGUGAUCAUGCCGACUUUCUCCGUACCAGACGGGUUUUCUUUCAAGAUUGUUUCUUCGCCGAUUCUGACAGGCAUUGUU